ACUAGGCCUACCUGGUUGAAAACAUGAUGACACACAUUCUGGAAACACCAGCCUCAGAGCCUGGGGAGACAUGACCGGACAGGCUGUGUUUGUCCUGCCAUGUUCCAUAUUGGCAUGACUCAGAGAUGAGAGGAAGAGGACCGAGGGACAUAACCCGGGACAUUGCCAAGUUUAAAGGCCCCAAAGAGCACUAUGAAGCCAUUAUCAAGAAUAAGCUCCCAGAAGAGAGAAGUCUAUGCUGUAAAGUCUUGUUUUGCCAAGAGAGGGAAGUGUCCAGAGGCUUUGGAGAGGCAGCCGGAGGAGUCUAGAAGAUGCUGACCAUCCAAGGUGAAUACCUAAGCAGCCUCCCUCUCUCCUAUUCAUAUGUGUGAUGUUUCAGUCACCAGCUGAUUGGCUGAAUUUUUCCCAUACUUUUAUGGCCUCCAACUUUAAUGUUUCUUCUUGAACUUAAAACAAAAAGCCUGUGUGGCCAUAUGUAAUGUGCAUAGUUAUACCUCACCCUUGAAGGUUACUUACCUAGCACCCUGAAUGGAUUGGGGACAUGGCCAUUCCCUUCAUAUUUGUGGGUUCUAACGCAAGAGUGCAAAUGGAGACCUGUAUAACAUAUGUCUAAGUAUUUUAUAGUUGUAAAUCAAGCUAUCAGACUAGUACAUAAAAUAUGUCUACCCUAUAUCGUGACAAUUAUACCUUCCUAAUGGCAAAAUUGACAAAUGUGUUUAAAGCUAUUCUUAUUAUGUGACUGAAGGUUGGCAGAAAAUCAAAGAUGACAGAAUUUAAUUGUUACCUUGCAUAUCUGAGUCAUUUUUAUGGUUGAUGAUGUUUGGCUAAGUAAUAAAAUAAAGAUAUAUGUUUUAUUUUCUUUAAUUUUAACAAAAAUAACUUAUGAGGUAAUAUCAGGAUUUUCACACAUUUGGUUUUCUAUUGACAGUAGUGAUAUAAGAAAUAAAAACUAUAAUCAUAAUAAAAGUGUAAAAUAUUUUUCUAAAAAUGUACAGCACAUUGAACAUAAAACAAAAUGUGAAACUAUUCUUAUGUAU